UUUUCACGAUUACAACAUAUAAUAUUCCCCUGCCUUCUGUUACAUGGAGCCCUAUCUCUACUUUAAAUUCCAGCCCACACCCAAUGCCUUUUCAGCUAACUCCUUUUGUCAAACUUGAAUGCUUUUCACGGUUACAGCUUAUGCCUUUCCUUUUAAGGUUUAGUUCCUUCCCAUACCCAACCUGUUUCAGCUUCUGUUCUAUCAUUUCACGUUUUGUUUCAUCCACCCCAUAUCACGAUUUCAGCUUCUGUUCUACUAUUUCACUCACGGUUUCAUCUUCCUGUUCUACGGUUUCAGCUUCUAUUUUCGCUUCUAACGGCAGCCUCUCUGUCUUCCUUCAUCUCCUUACAUCCAUAUAAAUACUGACAUAAGCCGGGUGAUUCAGUUGAGGGGCUAUCAUGGUUGUUGAAGCAUCAAAGCCGAUUGCAGUGGUUGAUGCGUAUGGGUUUUUUAAGUACAAAAAGUAGAAUGUUUGUCAGGUACUAAUUAUUAAGGAGGUAAACGCCACCAUCUUCUCAUGAAUUACUAAGGUUCCCAAGCCAUCUGAAAUGGGUGAUUGUAGACCUAUCUAUGUUGUAACAUAAUCUAUAAAUGCAUUACUACAGUCUGGGCCAAUAGGAUUUAAGCCUUGGCUUAAGUAUAUUGAUUGGUCAGCACCAAACCACACUUGUCAUGGGAAGGAAUAUCGAAGAGAAUGUUCUCUUAAUGAAAGACAUGAGGGAUGCUGUGUGCUUUUUGUAAAUUGUACAGCUCAUGGCUGUAUGAAAUGGUGGCCAUUAAAUUAGUAUAGAGUUUGUGUUUUCUUUUUUAUGAGAUCCCUUGUGAAUUUUUUCCACUAAUUUGGAUGGUUCUCCAAUAUUAUAGUGCUGCCUUAAACAA